UACGUAGGGUGCGAGCGUUGUCCGGAAUUAUUGGGCGUAAAGAGCUCGUAGGUGGUUUGUCGCGUUGUUCGUGAAAACUCACAGCUCAACUGUGGGCGUGCGGGCGAUACGGGCAGACUUGAGUACUGCAGGGGAGACUGGAAUUCAUGGUGUAGCAGUGAAAUGCGUAGAGAUCAUGAGGAAGACCAGUGGCGAAGGCGGGUCUCUGGGCCGAAAUUGACGCUGAGGAGCGAAAGCGUGGGGAGCAAACAGG
rnacentral:rRNA from 1 species